rfam:Candida arabinofermentans NRRL YB-2248 unplaced genomic scaffold CANARscaffold_14, whole genome shotgun sequence.
GCAUAAGUGGCCGAGUGGUCUAAGGCGGUAGACUCAAGUUCUACUCUUCGUGAGGAGACGCAGGUUCGAACCCUGUCUUAUGCA